rnacentral:rRNA from 1 species
AAACCAACAGGGAUUGCCUCAGUAACGGCGAGUGAAGCGGCAAAAGCUCAAAUUUGAAAUCCUUCGGGAGUUGUAAUUUGUAGGUUGGGAGACCCCGCGGCUAGUGGCACCAAGUCCCUUGGAACAGGGCGCCUUAGAGGGUGAGAGCCCCGUAGGUACCACAACACCGUCUUGUGUCUCCUCUCCAAAGAGUCGAGUUGUUUGGGAAUGCAGCUCAAAGUGGGUGGUAAAUUCCAUCUAAAGCUAAAUACCGGCGAGAGACCGAUAGCGAACAAGUACAGUGAUGGAAAGAUGAAAAGCACUUUGAAAAGAGAGUGAAACAGUACGUGAAAUUGUUGAAAGGGAAGGGCUUGCAAGCAGACACGGCCUUCGUGCCGGGCCAGCAUCGGUUGCUAGGGGUGGAUAAGGAACAAGGAAUGUAGCUCCUCGGAGUAUUAUAGCCUUGCGCGAUACACCCACUGGCGACCGAGGCCUGCGGUAUUCCUACCUAGGAUGCUGGCGUAAUGGUUGCAAGCCGC